rnacentral:lncRNA from 1 species
UAGGAGCACAGUGGAUAACAUUGAUGCAACACCAGUUAAAGAUCAUGAAUGGUGGGAGUGAUCAAGAUUAUAGAUGCGUACGAAUAGUAUAUAGGUUUUGUAGAUAUUUUUUUAUUGGGAGUGAUGGAUUAAAGGACAAGAGUUCUUACUUUCGUAUGUUGAAUAUUCUGUUGCAUUAAUUGUAUGAUGAAUGAUGGGAGUAAAUGAUGGAUUGAUUUCAUUGAUAAUAUAUAUAUUUGUUGCAUCAAUUUCUUUUUUUCAAAAAUUUUGUUGCAUUAAAGAAUCAACAUCGAUGCACUAACCAUGGAAUCAACGUUUCUCAUUCGGUGUGAAUUCAGUAUUGCCACAACCAUUUCGCAUAUUGCCAUGAUCAUUAACCGAUGCUAAAUGUGGCUAUUACAAGAAUACACACCAUGUUGUGAUAUCCUUUAAGCAUAUGGUAAUGACUCUUAUUGUGUUGCGAUAUCCUUUAAGAAAAUAGCAAUGACUCAUUAUUGUGUUG